CAGAGAACAGAAACAAAGCACA
rnacentral:miRNA from 1 species